rnacentral:rRNA from 1 species
UAGGGAAUCUUCCACAAUGGGCGAAAGCCUGAUGGAGCAACGCCGCGUGUGUGAUGAAGGGUUCGGCUCGUAAAACACUGUUGUAAGAGAAGAAUGACAUUGAGAGUAACUGUUCAAUGUGUGACGGUAUCUUACCAGAAAGGAACGGCUAAAUACGUGCCAC